ensembl:lncRNA
GUUAACAGAGAAAGCAAUGGCACCCCACUCCAGUACUCUUGCCGGAGGGCCUGGUGGGCUGUAGUCCAUGGGGUCACUAAGAGUCGGACACGACUGAGCGACUUCACUUUCACUUUCCCAACCCAGGGAUCAAAACUGCAUCUCUUGCAUAGGCAGGGAGAUUCUUUACCACUGAGCCACUUGAAGAGCCUGAAGUGGGCAUUAAAAGGGGCAAAAUGUCAGAAAAGAAACACCUAAAUUAAUACUCUAAAUUAUUAUCCUGCCUCACAUGUGAAAGCACAGUGACUGGCCCAUAGUAGGUGCUCAAGAAACCAGAGCUGCUAUUGACAUUGAAAAUGGGUUCUCUAAUUCUUCUUUUUUUCCUCACAGAAAUUGAAUUUUCUGGCACCUCUCUGCAGAAUAUCAUCUGAUUCUGGGCAAUCAUUUUGAGACAGCUGACUUGGGUCAGAAGAGCAGUCUGUGACUGUGGAACUGAGCAGAUUUCAUUGGAACAAAGUGAUGGAGGGAUGGAGAAGGACCCAACUCAAACUUUAGGUUUCUUGUAUCCCAUGGAAUCCAGCCACCUACAAGUCACAGUCUCUCAGAAGACACCAGAGAUGAGAUCACUCUCCAGGGGACACAAGCCUCUCACAUAAUCACCUGCUGGUACAUUUUGGCUUGCUAAGCCUAAUUCGUUUGUGAAGAGUGCUAAUGAGGAUGGGCAUUUGCUUGUGUGGACAGGAUAAGACGGUGAUGGUUAGAAGAACCAAGAUGUCAUAGGGGCCGGACUGCUCAGUAUUGUUGAGGAAUGCCAACAGCAAGAAUUCUGCAGAACACAGAAAAUGUGAUUGUCUCCUUGGCAUGUCCAGUGAAAGACAGUUUCUCUACUGAUAUAUUCUUGCCCAAUGCAUCCCAGAGAGUUUUUUCCAUCUUCAUUAUACAGGUAACACAUAUAAAUCUCAGAUCACAAAUGAACAUUGCUACAAAUUAAUAUAGUGCUGUGCUUCCUUGAAGACAUGACUUUUUUUCUUGCAUCUCUCAUUUCUUCUAGUGUGAAAAUAUUUAAUCUUAGUCCAUCUGAGGUGAAUUCAUUCAUUCGAUUCAGUGCUUCUCAGUCGAUUUAGGUGUUUUUCGUUUCCAGUUUAUAUUUGGGGUACAUCUGAUAUGUAUUUUCAAAAGGUUUCAAGUAGCGUCAAGGCAUCAAUGGGAGAAGAGUAGAUGACUGUGAUUCUUAGUCACCUAUUCAUCUUGAUAUCCUCUUAAAUUUAUAUCACUCCAUCUAAUCAUGUGCCUUAUUAUCUAUACUCUUCCAUUUGCUGAGAAAUUCAUGUUUCUCUAAUGAUGUCUGAGCACAUAAAAGGCAUCACAGGUGCUUCAUCCUGAUGAUGAGUCCCCCAAAAUUCUAGCACUCUCCCUCAUCAUUUACAUAUCACUCUUGGAGGGUAUGUAAAUAAUUGAUUGGUUUCCAGUUCCCCUCCAGGGUACUAAAAGCUCUCUGUGAUUGUCUAAGGACUUUCAUAUAAACAUAUUGUUGUCGUUUAGUCGCUAAAGCAUGUGUAACUCUUUGUGACUCUAUGGACUGUAGCCCACCAGGCUCCUCUGUCCAUGAGUUUUCCCAGGCAAGAAUAUUUCAGUGGGUUGCCAUUUCCUUCCCCAGGGGAUCUUCCUGACCCAGGGAUCAAACCCACAUCUCCUGCUUGGCAGAUGGAUGGCCUUUUAUGGGUUAAAUUUUGUAUCCCAACAAAAGAUGUGUUGAAGUCCCAAAUUCUCUUAUGUAUGUGAUCUUAUUUAGAAAUAGAAUCUAUAUAAUAAAUGCAUAAAUUUAUAAAUAUAUAAAUUAAAUAAAUCUAAUUAAGUUGAGUUCAUUAUAUUGGGGCCUAAUUCAGUAUGACUGAUGUCUUUGUAAGAUAAUGUGGAAACAGACACACACAAGGAACCAACAGGCAUGUCACGACAGAGGUAAAGGUUGCAAAGAUGUAUCUACAAAGUCAGGGCACAUCAAAGAUUGCUGUCCACCAUCAGACACUAGGAAGAGGAAAUGAAGGAUUCUACUCAGAGUCUCAGAAAGAGGAAAAAGCCCUGCUGACACUUCGAUUUGAGAUUUCUAGCCCCUCAAACAUGUGAGGUAGUAAAUUUUUUUUAAAGUUAUUAAACCUGUAGGUGGUAUUAUAGCAGCCCUAGGAAACGCAUAUAGGUCCUUAUGCCAUGCUGGCAGAGACAUUUAUCAACUCCACAAGUCCCAAGAAUUUGCCCAGCUUGAGGUGUACAAGUUCUUGUAUUUUUGGAUCCUAAAGCUCAUUUAUGAACCUUAUUAUGUAUCUAAUCCUGGAAAUUAGUCUGAGGAAGAAGUUAUUAGAAAGACUUGGUAUAAGUCCCUUUCUUGGGGCAAAUAUGAAGUUCUAAUUCUCUUGCCUUUGGCUUCAUCUCCAUUCCAGUUUCAUUUAGAAUGGGUUUAUGAAAAAAAUAUUAAAUGGAUCACUUAUUCUUCUAUGUCUACUGUUUGGUAUAGUCAUUGUUUCUUGAACUGUUAGGAUUUUGGCCUUCUUAUACAAAGUCAAGUUUCUAACAACUUUAGCGUUUUGUUCCCUCAAGAAUUUGUCUCUGUAAGGUAUUUCCAAAGCAUAUUUUGAAACUUAAUGGCUGAGAAUUUACCUUUUCCACUGUGCGCUUCUAUUUAAUCAUCCUUCUCCCAAGUGGCAUGGAUUGAAUGCAGGAAGACAAAGAGGAACAGAAACUUCCAGCAAAAGAAUCACUUUGAUUAAUCUUGCAAAACAUCCUAUCAUUAUUUGGAAAACUCUUCUGAAGUUAGAUCAUUAGAUUUGGUAAUUUUGUUUAUUAACAGUGUAUAUGGUUUCACAAAAUUCUCUCUUUGGUUCUGUUCUAACUGAGAAUAUCCUCCCAGAUGGUAGUGGAAUUGCACUUGACUCAGUAGAAAAUGUUAAAGGGAAUUAAAAUGUAUCACUUUCUUCUUUAUAAAGAGAACUGAGAAAUCUUAAGGGAAAGUGUGGGUUUAGGAGUGAAAUUUUAGAUUGUGCUUUACAUCUUACUGGGGGAUUUUGUAUAUGCUGGUUCUGUUUAGGACUUUCAGUUGGUAUUAACCCUAGGAUCAAGGAUUACCUGAUUUUGAUAUUGACUCAUUUUUACAUGGGCCCUGAAGGAGAGAUAUGAACAUAAGAGAGAAAUCAACACAAAUGAAUAUGAAAGCUUUUGACCUCGAGCCACAGGCAGAAUUCUGACGAGCUAGACUGAACCUUGUGGAGAGGUCUGUGUGAAAGACUUAUAUUAUUUGGCAUUUAUGCUAGACGUUCUGUUGGCAUCUUGACACAACUCCAUGAUGUAUUUUAUUCGGUAGAGGAUAGAACUAUAGAUUCUAUAUUUCAGACAUCUUGACAGUUUAACUUUUUACCAAGGUGGGAUAUUUUGGCUCAGGCAGCCUAUCGUGAACAUUUACUUUUUGGGUGGCCAAGGGAAGUUCAAGUCUAUCUUCUUCUCCGGUACUUGGAGGAAUGUGUUUGACUUUCAGGAUGUCAAGUGACAUAUGAUAGGGCUCUGAUCUUAGAGUAAAAUGAUAUUCAAUUCAGUCUUAACCUUCUUGGUAAUUUAUUAUUAAUUUGGGUAUGUCUGGGCCUAAACAUAAUUAUCUUUUUCUGUAAAGUGGAAGAGUCAGAACAGUUGACUUGGAAUUUAUUCUGGUUAGUCCUUAAACUUUCUAACGAAUAAUGCAUUUGUUAGACUAAACAUUGCCUUUAAACUCCUAUUCGGUUUUAAUUCCUUAAACUUUCCCAAAAGUUCUUAUAUAGUGAGAAAAGAUACUUGGUAUAG